rnacentral:rRNA from 1 species
AUUGAACGCUGGCGGCAUGCCUUACACAUGCAAGUCGGACGGUAACAGGUUAAGCUGACGAGUGGCGAACGGGUGAGUAAUGUAUCGGAAUGUGCCCAGUCGUGGGGGAUAACUGCUCGAAAGAGCAGCUAAUACCGCAUACGAUCUACGGAUGAAAGCGGGGGAUCGCAAGACCUCGCGCGAUUGGAGCGGCCGAUAUCUGAUUAGCUAGUUGGUGGGGUAAAAGCCCACCAAGGCGACGAUCAGUAGCUGGUCUGAGAGGACGACCAGCCACACUGGGACUGAGACACGGCCCAGACUCCUACGGGAGGCAGCAGUGGGGAAUUUUGGACAAUGGGGGCAACCCUGAUCCAGCCAUGCCGCGUGCAGGAAGAAGGCCUUCGGGUUGUAAACUGCUUUUGUCAGGGAAGAAAUCCUUUGGGCUAAUACCCUGAGGGGAUGACGGUACCUGAAGAAUAAGCACCGGCUAACUACGUGCCAGCAGCCGCCGUAA